rnacentral:lncRNA from 1 species
UCAAGAAGUCCAAAAGUACCCAAUCUGAAACCAAUGCUCUCUUGGUCAGCACCGCAGACCUCAAGCCAAUGCCCUGGAGGUCCGCACCGCAACACCUCCCGACAGUACCACUGCCGCUCUAACAUGCAUAUAACCCCUCUAGGGCUCACGGGUUGUCACCAUUCAACCACUUUUCCGGAAAAGAACACUCCUUGCGGUGGAUCAGACCGCCAGUGUUCGUGAAAUGCGACGAGUAUCGGGCGAUCAAUGCAAUAUGGUCAAAGAACAACCGUCGGCAACCAGCCGACAAUCCUGCCCCCCAGGGCCUAUCGAUCGCAUAGGUCAUCAACUGUAAAGAAGCACAAGAACCGACCACUCAGGUCAACUAGGAUGGGACAACAUCGACAUCCUCUCAAACAUAUGCAAAUACUGCUCAAUGAACCACAAGGACUGACCACUCAGAUCAACUAGGAUAUGAAGCUCGACCAAUCACGUCACAAGUACAGGAUAUGAAACUCGACCAAUCCUGUCACAAGUAUAGGAUAUGAAACUCGACCAAUCAUGUCACAAGUAUAGGAUAUGAAACUCAACCAAUCAUGUCACAAGUAUAGGAUAUGAAACUCGACCAAUCAUGUCACAAGUAUAGGAUAUGAGUAAAGUAUAAUCAUCCGUCGGCAACUAACCGACAAUCCCACCCCUUAGGGUAUACCGACCUCAACGGUCAUCAGACAACAAAGGUCGAGGAACUCACCGAAUAGGUCACAAAUACUGAAUACUAGAAUUGACCGACUAGAUCGCUAAUCUCACAGAUAAUCACAGAAUCGCUCUACUAUAAAUAUGAAAUAGGGUAUGCAGAAUAGCUAAGUAGGGCAACAAGGAAAUUUGGUAUCACAUACAGAUAGACUAUACUCCUACACAUGAUACUAAGCAUGGAAACAUCUGAGUAGAGUAUAAUCAAACAACGUGGGUGUAAUGUAAACAAUAGAGGUGCAAAGCUCAACAUAUAAUAUAAGCAUGAAUAAUAACAAAAGAGCAAGGGUAAGAAACCAUCACCGAGCGUGCACCACUGUACCCACGUCGGAUCGAAGUACCCACCUGUACAACUGUCGCGCCUGUCUCCUGACU